UACAGAGGUCCCGAGCGUUGUUCGGAUUCAUUGGGCGUAAAGGGUGCGUAGGCGGCGGGGCAAGUCUGAUGUGAAAUCCCGGGGCUCAACCCCGGAACUGCAUUGGAUACUGCCUUGCUUGAGUACUGGAGAGGGAACUGGAAUUUACGGUGUGGCAGUGAAAUGCGUAGAUAUCGUAAGGAAGGCCAGUGGCGAAGGCGAGUUCCUGGACAGUUACUGACGCUGAGGCACGAAGGCCAGGGGAGCAAACGGG
rnacentral:rRNA from 1 species